CAGCAGCCGCGGUGAUACGUAGGGAGCAAGCGUUGUCCGGAAUUACUGGGCGUAAAGGGCUCGUAGGUGGUUGAGUAAGUCAGAUGUGAAAUCUCAGGGCCCAACCCUGAGCCUGCAUUUGAUACUGCUCUGACUAGAGUCCGGUAGGGGAGUGCGGAACUCCUGGUGUAGCGGUGAAAUGCGCAGAUAUCAGGAAGAACACCGACAGCGAAGGCAGCACUCUGGGCCGGUACUGACACUGAGGAGCGAAAGCAUGGGUAGCAAACAGGAUUAGAUACCCUGGUAGUCCAUGCCGUAAACGUUGGGCACUAGGUGUGGGGAGAACUCAACUCUCUCCGCGCCGUAGCUAACGCAUUAAGUGCCCCGCCUGGGGAGUACGGCCGCAAGGCUAAAACUCAAAGGAAUUGACGGGGGCCCGCACAAGCGGCGGAGCAUGUUGCUUAAUUCGAGGCAACGCGAAGAACCUUACCUGGGUUGAACUACGUGGGAAAAGCCGCAGAGAUGCGGUGUCCUUCGGGGUCCACGAUAGGUGGUGCAUGGCC
rnacentral:rRNA from 1 species